CGACGGCCAAAAGGAGCGGCGCGGUCUUCGUGGUGUUCGUGGCAGGUGAUGAUGAACAGUCUACACAGAUGGCUGCAAGUUGGGAAGAUGAUAAAGUUACAGAAGCAUCUUCAAACAGUUUUGUUGCUAUUAAAAUCGAUACCAAAAGGUUUCCUGCCUACAGUUUUCACAAAUCUAUCCUGUAGUGUGUGUUCCAUCCAGUUUCUUUAUUGGAGACAGUGGAAUUCCCUUGGAAGUAAUAGCAGGAAGUGUUUCUGCAGAUGAACUUGUUACAAGAAUUCACAAGGUCCGACAGAUGCAUUUGCUAAAAAGUGAAACAUCAGUAGCAAAUGGCAGUCAGUCAGAAAGUUCAGUGUCUACUCCAUCUGCGUCAUUUGAACCUAACAACACUUGUGAAAACUCUCAGUCCAGAAAUGCAGAGCUUUGUGAGAUACCACCCACUUCUGAUACAAAGUCAGAUACUGCAACAGGAGGAGAAAGUGCAGGCCAUGCCACUUCCUCUCAGGAGCCUAGUGGAUGCUCAGAUCAGAGACCUGCAGAGGACCUCAACAUCCGAGUGGAAAGACUAACAAAAAAACUUGAAGAAAGGAGAGAAGAGAAAAGAAAAGAGGAAGAACAG
rnacentral:lncRNA from 1 species